UCCUUCCUCUAAUACAGCAGCACUAUGAGGCAGAGUGUGGUUGUGGUUGACAUAAGCGUUAUAAUAUUAGGAGGGAUGAGAAAGCACUGUGAUACCUAAUGACUUCGGGUGUGUUUUAUGUGACAAAUAUGAGGACCUUGGAAAACACAAUGAUCCAAUAUGGUAUUUUUCUCCAGAGUUUACUAAUUACACACUUCUCAUGUCAGAUUGAUCUGAAUCAUUUUAAAAUUUAGAAUUGUAUUUUUCAAUUCCUCAACUAACUAAAUGCGCUUUCUGAUAUACUGCAGCUAGUCCAGCUUUGCAAUAUUUCUUAUGUUUUCAUGCGCUUCUACUCAUGAUGUAUUUUUUCCAAAGUUUCUAAGACACCAGACUCCAGCAGGUAUGUACACCGAACCCCAAAUCAUUUUUAAACCGUUAAAACCUGACUGUUCACACAGUAUGGACACCCACAACCAAAUACUGGCAGAAUACGAAAUGAUCCUCCUGCUCCUUACUUCUCUCUGAAUAUCAGGCCCCUGGAAUCAGCCGUUUUCUUCUUCUAAUCAACAUCAGAGAACAUGAUGGGAGGUCCUUUCUGCAGAACAUCUGUUUAACCUCCCACCUCCCACUAUGAAAAGAGGCUCAGUCAUUUUGCUGUGGCUGCUUCUCAUGUCAUCAACAUGGUUACAAUGACUCCACUUCUCAUCGCACUCGUAGCAUCGUCGCUGAUGCUUCAAGGUCACUGCCAAGGUGUGACCCAACACCCGGAAAUCAUCUGGAGUUCUGUUUCCAAAUCUGCGGAGAUGAACUGCAGCCACAACAAAGAUGCCGGUCACAACCAGAUGUACUGGUACAGACAGCGUCCAGGAGAGUCCAUGACCCUCGUGGUCUACACAGUUUAUGGUGGACAGCCAGAUUACGGAGAGCUCCCUCAGACCAAAUAUUCAGCUGUCAAAGAAAGCUCUGAGAGCGGCGCUCUUACAGUGAAGGACUUGCAGCUGGAGGAUGCCGGCGUGUAUUUUUGUGCUGUCAGCAAACACAGUGAUGUGAGAAGGAAAAGCCACUGAACAAAAACUGGUUGCCAGCACAUUCGGGGAGUGUUGCAGGAUUGUAAAUAUUUCCAAUAGGUGGAGCUGGAGCUGCAGAGAUACACA